rnacentral:rRNA from 1 species
GACGAACGCUGGCGGCGUGCUUAACACAUGCAAGUCGAACGGAAAGGCCCUGCUUUUGUGGGGUGCUCGAUUGGCGAACGGGUGAGUAACACGUGAGUAACCUGCCCUUGACUUUGGGAUAACUUCAGGAAACUGGGGCUAAUACCGGGGAGGAUCUUCUGCUGCAUGGUGGGGGUUGGAAAGUUUCGGCGGUUGGGGAUGGUCUCGCGGCUUAUCAGCUUCUUUGUGUGGUAGUUGCUUACCAAGGUUUUGACGGCUAGCCGGCCUGAGAGGGUGAACGGCGACAUGGGGACUGAGAGACGGACCAGACUGCUACGGGAGGCAGCAGUGGGGAGUAUGGCGCAAUGGGCGGAAGCGUGAUGUAGAGGCGCCGCGUGCGGGAUGACGGCCUUCGGGUGGUAAACCGCUUUGGACUGAGACGAGGCGUGAGUGACGGUAAUGGGUAAAGAAGCACCGGCUAACUACGUG